GAAAUACUCCCUCCGUCCCAUAUUAAGUGUCGAAAUAUCACAUGUAUCUAGACAUUUUGGGGUAUAGAUACAUACAUAUUUGGGCAAUUUUGAGUCACUUAAUAUGGGACGGAGAGAGUACUUU
rfam:Brachypodium distachyon strain Bd21 chromosome 4, whole genome shotgun sequence.